AGAAACACAAGCAAACAACAGACGACUCAGUGUGGAAGAGAUGGCUGGGGAGAAGAAGCUGGUUCUACCUGUAACACUGAGAAGAAGAAUAAAGUCCCAUUUAAGUUGAGUUAAAUGGGAGUGAACAACUAUUAUUGCACAGAAAGUCAUCCAGCUGCGAACAACACAGUUAUGAGAGCUGAAGAUGUGAGUUAUGGUCAAAUCAUCAUCAAACAGAAGAAAAACAAGACAAAAGAGACUAAUCCAGCUGCAGUCUCCUCAGAGGUGGGAACUGAAGACAUAAGUUACAAACAAAUGGUCAUCAGACUAAAGACUCUUAGAGACUGUGAACCAGAGCCAGACAUCAUCUACUCUUCACUGAAGUAGUCCACCAAUCCAACCACUGACGUCCAGCUGCUGGUCUCUGACUGGUCCUCCCAGCAUCUCAAGAGUACAACUGCUUGUUGAAAUACUUUUAUAUAUUUUGCGCCUUUUUCUCACUGAACCUUACUCAAACGACUCAAAAAGGACAUACUUUUAACAGAAUUUUCUGCCAAGUAGGCAAUGAUCAUAUAAAUGUGUUAAUAUACUUUAUUAACUUUAUUGUUAUGUAAAUGUUAUUUAUGCUCAGUGACUUAUGACUGCAAUCUGGUUUCUUUGGCAGAUUAAUAAACCUCAGUUCUUGUAUAACGUUCCUGUGUGGGUAUGUGGGCUUUACCAAGCUGUGAGAUGGAAAAUAUGACUUGUUUGG